rnacentral:rRNA from 1 species
GACGGAGGAUGCAAGCGUUAUCCGGAAUGAUUGGGCGUAAAGCGUCCGCAGGGGGCAGUUCAAGUCUGCUGUCAAAGACCGGGGCUUAACUUCGGAAAGGCAGUGGAAACUGAACAGCUAGAGUAUGGUAGGGGCAGAGGGAAUUCCUGGUGUAGCGGUGAAAUGCGUAGAGAUCAGGAAGAACAUCGGUGGCGAAGGCGCUCUGCUGGACCAUAACUGACACUCAGGGACGCAAGCUAGGGGAGCGAAUGGG